UAGGGGGCAAGCGUUAUCCGGAUUUACUGGGUGUAAAGGGAGUGCAGGUGGCAGCACAAGUCAGAAGUGAAAGCCCGGGGCUCAACCCCGGGACUGCUUUUGAAACUGUGCAGCUGGAGUACAGGAGAGGCAGGCGGAAUUCCUAGUGUAGCGGUGAAAUGCGUAGAUAUUAGGAGGAACACCGGUGGCGAAGGCGGCCUGCUGGACUGAAACUGACACUGAGGCUCGAAAGCGUGGGGAGCAAA
rnacentral:rRNA from 1 species